GGAAUCUACCAAGGGUCUGGGAUAACCCCGGGAAACUGGGGAUAAUACCGGAUGGUUUCACUACUUCUGGAAUGGGUGGGUGACUGAAAGGCGACGCCCUUGGAUGGUUCUGCGGCGGAUUAGGUUGACGCCGGUGUAACGUACCGGCGUGCCUUUAAUCCGUAAGGGUUGUGGGAAGCAAGACCCCGGAGAUGGAUUUUGAGACACGAAUCCAGGCCUUACGGGGCGCAGCAGGCGCGAAAAUUUUACAAUGCAGGCAAUUGCGAUAGGGGGACAUCGAGUGGCACCCACCUUGGGUGCUUGUCCCACCGUUUAAAAAACGGUGGUUAGCAAGGGCCGGGUAAGACCGGUGCCAGCCGCCGCGGUAAUACCGGCGGCUCGAGUGGUGGCCGAUAUUAUUGAGUCUAAAGGGUCCGUAGCCGGCUUUGCAAGUCCCCCGGGAAAUCCAGCGGCUUAACCGUUGGGCUUCCGUGGGAUACUACAUUGCUUGGGACUGGGAGAGGUAGGAGGUACUCGGGGGGUAGGGGUGAAAUCCUGUAAUCCUCCGGGGACCACCGGUGGCGAAGGCGUCCUACCAGAACAGGUCCGAACGGUGAGGGACGAAAGCUAGGGGCACGAACCGGAUUAGAUACCCGGGUAGUCCUAGCCGUAAACGAUGCCCGCUAGGUGUCACGGCAGUCGUGAAUUGCCGUGGUGCCGUAGGGAAGCCGCGAAGCGGGCCACUUGGGAAGUACGGCCGCAAGGCUGAAACUUAA
rnacentral:rRNA from 1 species